CCCUAGUCUUCAUUUAAGUAGUGCCUUAAAACCCAUCUCUAGGAAAGCGUAUGGCUUCCCAGAGUAACAUCUACCUUACAUAACUGUCUCUUGCUCUCUCCUAAAGGGCAACACUCUCUUUUCCAGCUCUUAUUUGAUUGCUAUUUCCUGUCCUAAUGUGUUUUACAAUCCACCUCCUAUAGACUGUAAGCCUGUUUGAGCAGGGUCCUCUUCAACCUAUUGUUCAUUUAAGUUUUCUUGUAAUUGUCUUACUUACAGUUAAAUCCCCCCAUUCAUAAUAUUGUAAAGCGCUACGGAAUAU